GGCUCAGUGGUCCAAUGGUAAAGCGCUUGUCGCGAAAUCAGAGGGUCCUGGGUUCGAUCUCAACAGGGUCG
rnacentral:tRNA from 1 species